AUGGCCUCGCGGCUCCGGCUCGGCCAGCCCAGCCCGAACCCCGGACCCGGCCCCAGCCCCGGCGAGGGGAAGAGAGAAGAAGGAGAAGCGAGGAAGCCGGAGCCGCGGCGAGAGGUGACGGACCUGGGCGGCGGGAGCGAGGUGGUGCACAUCCCGCGGUUCAUGGCGCGGGAGAGGGCGUGGGAGCUGUUCGAACACCUCAACAAGCGCAUCCCGUGGACGCGCCCCACCAUCCGCGUCUUCGGCCGCUCCGUUGUCCAGCCCAGAGAUACCUGCUAUGUGGCAGAUGAAGGGCUAACAGAUUUGAGGUACAGCGGCCAUCAGCCUCAUCCGCAUUCUUGGCAUGAAUUCCCAGUGCUAAAGGAUAUCUUGAAAGAGGUCCAUGAAGCCCUCCCAGGAAGCCACUUUAACAGCCUGCUGCUGAACAGAUACAAGGGAGGUUCAGACUACGUGUCAUGGCACGCCGAUGACGAACCCCUCUACGGACCUACCCCGGAGAUCGCGUCCGUUACAUUCGGGUGCGAACGUGAGUUCUUGCUGAGGAAGAAGCCUGCCAAUACAAAAUCACAAGCUGCUGGUGAAUCUGGGGAAACGGCUCCGAAGCGGCUCAAGGUCAGCGCCCCUCAGCAGCAUUCGUUCCUCCUGAAGCAUGGCUCGUUGCUCGUGAUGAGGGGCUACACCCAGCGGGACUGGCAGCACGCGGUGCCCAAGCGUGCGAGGGCGGCCUCGACGAGGAUCAACCUAACUUUCCGGCAUGUGUUGCCAUGA
rnacentral:rRNA from 1 species